AUAGUACUCCCUCCAUCCGAAAAAGCUUGUUCCUUAAAUGGAUGUAUCUAGCAUCAAGUUAGUGCUAAAUACAUCCAUUUAAGAAACAAGUUUGGGACAAGUUUUUUCAGACGGAGGGAGUACAAA
rnacentral:pre_miRNA from 1 species